rnacentral:rRNA from 1 species
CCUACGGGGGACAGCAGUCGAGAAUCGUUCACAAUGGGGGAAACCCUGAUGGUGCGACGCCGCGUGGGGGAAUGAAGGUCUUCGGAUUGUAAACCCCUGUCAUGUGGGAGCAAAUUAAAAAGAUAGUACCACAAGAGGAAGAGACGGCUAACUCUGUGCCAGCAGCCGCGGUAAUACAGAGGUCUCAAGCGUUGUUCGGAAUCACUGGGCGUAAGGCGUGCGUAGGCUGUUUCGUAAGUCGUGUGUGAAAGGCGCGGGCUCAACCCGCGGACGGCACAUGAUACUGCGAGACUAGAGUAAUGGAGGGGGAACCGGAAUUCUCGGUGUAGCAGUGAAAUGCGUAGAUAUCGAGAGGAACACUCGUGGCGAAGGCGGGUUCCUGGACAUUAACUGACGCUGAGGCACGAAGGCCAGGGGAGCGAAAGGGAUUAGAUACCCCAGUAGUC